GGAUUAUCCUUCAAAUAAAGUAAGAACAUCUCCUGGGCGGGGGUCUGCAUUAUGAUGUCACAAGACUGCACUGUAGGGUAAAGACCCCUGGCCUCAUCUAUUCAUUUAACAAACGUGGGUUGAAUGUCUACCCGUGGCCCCGCCCUGCACUAGGACCUAACGAGAGACAAGACCCAGAAUCUGCCUUUGAAGGAGGGGGUCAGUUCAGGAAUAUGGACUCUGUCGUCAGGACACAGAAGAGCCUUUGCAGGACUAAAUCGGGCCAGAUUGUCCCUUUAGCUGUGGUGUGGAGAAGGGGUCAGAGGUGUAGGCGGGAGCUCCGGAGACCCUGCUGGUCUCGGUGACACAGAUUCCGAAGGAGAAAGGGCAAAAGCCUUUCUCCAAGCCAGCAACCAGUCCUGUCUCUUUUCUCUGACCUCCAAAUCCAUCCUUGGGAGCUAGUGGCCACGAUGGCCGCCAUCAACCCUGCCCAUCGACUCUUCCCUCACGGUUGAUGCAUUAGACCAUUGACCGACUGAUUGAUGGCACAGGAGACAGCGGUGUAUGUGUUUCUUACUGACGCUGAAAAGUGAGGACCCCUCUCAGAUCACAAGCAGCAGCCAGCCUUGGACCUUUCAUGGACAGCCAUAGUAAUUUCAUGACUCAUUUUACUGUGCC
rnacentral:lncRNA from 1 species